UACGUAGGGACGAGCGUUGUCCGGAAUUACUGGGCGUAAAGGGCGCGCAGGCUGUAGAUCAAGUCAGCUGUGAAAUGUCUGGGCUUAACCCGGGCAUGCGGUUGAAACUGAUGUACUGGAGUGCUGUAGAGGCAAGUGGAAUUCCCAGUGUAGCGGUGAAAUGCGUAGAUAUUGGGAAGAACACCGGUGGCGAAGGCGACUUGCUGGGCAGCAACUGACGCUGAGGCGCGAAAGCCAGGGGAGCAAACGGGAUUAGAUA
rnacentral:rRNA from 1 species